AACGCAUAUUGCGCUCUUUGGUAUUCCGAAGAGCAUGCUUGUUUGAGUAUCAGUAAACACCUCAAAGCUUUUGGAUUUUUUUUUUGAAAGCUUUGGACUUGAGCAAUCCCAACACCAAUCUUUUUCAGAUCGGCGGCGGGUUGCUUGAAAUGCAGGUGCAGCUGGACUUUCUCCUGAGCUAAAAGCAUAUUCAUUUAGUCCCGUCAAACGGAUUAUUACUUUUGCUGCAGCUAACAUAAAGGGAGUUUGACCGCAUUGGCUGACUGAUGCAGGAUUUCACAAGGGUCGGCAACGAUUCUUGUUAAACUCGAUCUCAAAUCAAGUAAGACUACCCGCUGAACUUAA
rnacentral:misc_RNA from 1 species